UACUAGAGUAGCACUCGCAUAUCAAUAAGCGGAGGAAAAGAGGGCUAUUACCUACGCUUAGGAUGUUGACGCGCGUGUGUGCGUGAGUCUAUACAUGACUCUGCGCAUAUCAAUAAGCGGAGGAAAAGAAACUAACAAGGAUUCCCCUAGUAACGGCGAGUGAAGCGGGAAGAGCUCAAAUUUGAAAUCUUAAAGGGUUUCCCUUUACGAAUUGUAGUUUAAAGAAGUGUUUUCUGUUGAGGUUUUGGUAAAAGUUCUUUGGAAUAGGACAUCAUAGAGGGUGAGAAUCCCGUAUUUGACCUUUACUUUCAACUUUGUGAUACACUUUCAAAGAGUCGGAUUGUUUGGGAAUGCAGUCCAAAAUGGGUGGUAAAUUUCAUCUAAAGCUAAAUAUUGGCGAGAGACCGAUAGCGAACAAGUACCGUGAGGGAAAGAUGAAAAGAACUUUGAAAAGAGAGUUAAACAGUACGUGAAGUUGUCAAAAGGGAAGCGUUUGACACCAGUGUUGUUUUUCUGAAAAUCAAUUAAAGAACUGUUUAUGCUAAGCUGUUUAGACUUUAUCAGCUAUCUGUUUAGUUUUGAGCUUUUCUUUAAUGCACUUUUCAGUUAACAAGUCAACAUCAAUUUCUUUUGCUGUAAAAAAGCUUGAGGAAGGUGGCUUGAGAUUCGUCUUAAGUGUUUAUAGCCUCUUGCCUAUGCAGUCGGAGAGAUUGAGGUCUGCAGCGUAGAUCCUUCGGGGCUAAAUGCAUUUGUGCUAAGUUAUAGCAUUUUAUAGACAACUUGUUGACUAUGAUUUGUCUUGUAGCUUACUCGCUUAUGUUAUUUUACCUACGCUUAGGAUGUUGAACUCUAUCACACACAG
rnacentral:rRNA from 1 species